UCAUAAAAUGAGUGGAGGAAUGUAUCUUCGACCUCGGUUGAGGUGUUAUAGCCCCUUGUAGAUGCGAUGAUCGGGAGUGAGGAUUGCAACGAAUACCUUUUAGGCUACCCGCCUGAUCUCUGAUGGUUGCUAUGGUGCCGAAAGCUUGCUUACGGUUAUCAGAGUUGAUUGUUAAAAGGUUAGAACGGGUUAAAUUCGGUAAGGAUGUUGACGUAAUGGCUUUAAACGACCCGUCUUGAAACACG
rnacentral:rRNA from 1 species